GCCUGGGUGGCUUAGUCGGUUAAGCAUCUGACUUCAGCUCAGGUCAUGAUCUCAUGGUUCGUGGGUUUGAGCCUCAUGUUGGGCU
rnacentral:tRNA from 1 species